ensembl:lncRNA
AAAAAUAAUAGUAAUCAAGCCAUGGGCGCUUAUUGUAAUGGUGCAAGCAAGAUGCUAAAUGGAGAAAAUGACAGCUCCAUGUUGUGUUCCAUUUUCUCCCAGGUAAGAGUGAUCCAGUAAGAGUCAGGUUUAUAGACUCACAUCUCUCACCAUGCACUAACCUGAAAUAAAAAAGAUCUAAAUAUUAAAUCAGAAACACUAAGUCUGCCAGAGGAGAAAAAUAGAACUCUUGAAGACAGAGGUGUAGGCAAAGACUUUAUGAACAAAACCUUAAUCAAACAAGAAAUAUUACAAAGAAUCAACAACUGAGAUCUCAUUUAUUGAAAAGCUUUUUCACUGCAAAAGAAGCCAUCAACAGAGUGAAGAGACAACCCACAGCCUAAAUACUCAUCAACCAAUGAAUGGAUAAAGAAGAUGUGGUUUUAUUGUACAAUGGUGUACUACUCAGCCAAAAAGAAGGAUGAACUUGAAACAUUUACAGAAAUAGACUGGCAGAGUAAAAUCAAACAAUAUGCUGCAUACAAGAAACACACUUAAUUAAAAAAGAAAUUCAUAGACUGAAAGUUAAAGGAUGGAAAACAAUACUCCUUGCAACAGGAACCUGAAAAAGCAGGAGCAGCUAUCCUAUUUGAAGAUAAAAUGGAUUUCAAACCAACACUAAUUAUGAGAAACAAAGAAAGACAGUAUAUCUUUGUAAAGUGAACAAUACAAGAGGG